UACGUAGGGACCGAGCGUUGUCCGGAAUCAUUGGGCGUAAAGAGCGUGUAGGCGGCCUUUUAAGUCCUGCGUGAAAUCCUGCGGCUCAACCGCAGACGGUCGUGGGAAACUGGAAGGCUAGAGUGCGGGAGAGGAGAGUGGAAUUCCCGGUGUAGCGGUGAAAUGCGCAGAUAUCGGGAAGAACACCCGUGGCGAAGGCGGCUCUCUGGGCCGGUACUGACACUGAGGAGCGAAAGCGUGGGUAGCAAACAGG
rnacentral:rRNA from 1 species